rnacentral:rRNA from 1 species
AACGAACGCUGGCGGCAUGCCUAACACAUGCAAGUCGAACGAGACCUUCGGGCCUAGUGGCGCACGGGUGCGUAACGCGUGGGAACCUGCCCUUAGGUUCGGAAUAACUCCCCGAAAGGGGUGCUAAUACCGGAUAAUGUCUUCGGACCAAAGAUUUAUCGCCUUUGGAUGGGCCCGCGUUGGAUUAGCUAGUUGGUAGGGUAAAAGCCUACCAAGGCGACGAUCCAUAGCUGGUCUGAGAGGAUGAUCAGCCACACUGGGACUGAGACACGGCCCAGACUCCUACGGGAGGCAGCAGGGGGGAAUAUGGGACAAUGGGCGAAAGCCUGAUCCAGCAAGGCCGCGUGAGUGAUGAAGGCCUUAGGGUUGUAAAGCUCUUUUACCCGGGAUGAUAAGGACAGGACCGGGAGAAUAAGCUCCGGCUAACUCCGU